GUUACGAAUUCUUUGACCAAACUGCAAGUACACACAAAUAAAAUCUUUAGACUCAAAGAUAAACACAAACAAGAAGCAUUAGCUCAAAAACUGGAAACAAAGUCUCAUUAACAGCACUAGCCAUCAGUAAAAUGAUCUUACUAUCAUCAAAAUUAACAUAUCAAAUAUGAAAGACUUGCUUCAAAAAUGAAAACAAGAACCUUGAAACAAAAAAAACAGCUUUCGCUCUCAAAGACCAUGCACAUACCCAAAUUAAGACAAACGAGCUAGUCAAAACGAAGAAACCAACUAGGUUAACUAUUUACCAUAAGAUUCGAAAACUUUCAUUAGUAGAAUCAAUACCCAUUACAGAAAAAUCAAAGUUUAUAACUUUAAGGUCCUAACAGAGAUAAAGCUACAGAUCAUGACUCUGAGCCAAAACCCAGAAGAAAAAACAUAAGAAAAACGCAGAUCCGAUGAAUCAAGUACUGAAGAAGAAGAAAUUAAGGUUUACCUAGAGCUACUAAGCCCAAUAAAA